GAAUUCGCCCUUAGAGUUUGAUCCUGGCUCAGGACGAACGCUGGCGGCGCGCCUAACACAUGCAAGUCGAACGGAGUCAAGAGGAGCUUGCUUUUCUUGACUUAGUGGCGAACGGGUGAGUAACGCGUGAGUAACCUGCCCUGGAGUGGGGGACAACAGUUGGAAACGACUGCUAAUACCGCAUAAGCCCACGGAUCCGCAUGGAUCUGCGGGAAAAGGAUUUAUUCGCUUCAGGAUGGACUCGCGUCCAAUUAGCUAGUUGGUGAGGUAACGGCCCACCAAGGCGACGAUUGGUAGCCGGACUGAGAGGUUGAACGGCCACAUUGGGACUGAGACACGGCCCAGACUCCUACGGGAGGCAGCAGUGGGGGAUAUUGCACAAUGGGGGAAACCCUGAUGCAGCGACGCCGCGUGGAGGAAGAAGGUUUUCGGAUUGUAAACUCCUGUCGUUAGGGACGAUAAUGACGGUACCUAACAAGAAAGCACCGGCUAACUACGUGCCAGCAGCCGCGGUAAAACGUAGGGUGCAAGCGUUGUCCGGAAUUACUGGGUGUAAAGGGAGCGCAGGCGGACCGGCAAGUUGGAAGUGAAAACUAUGGGCUCAACCCAUAAAUUGCUUUCAAAACUGCUGGCCUUGAGUAGUGCAGAGGUAGGUGGAAUUCCCGGUGUAGCGGUGGAAUGCGUAGAUAUCGGGAGGAACACCAGUGGCGAAGGCGACCUACUGGGCACCAACUGACGCUGAGGCUCGAAAGCAUGGGUAGCAAACAGGAUUAGAUACCCUGGUAGUCCAUGCCGUAAACGAUGAUUACUAGGUGUUGGAGGAUUGACCCCUUCAGUGCCGCAGUUAACGCAAUAAGUACUCCGCCUGAGUAGUACGUUCGCAAGAAUGAAACUCAAAGGAAUUGACGGGGGCCCGCACAAGCGGUGGAGCAUGUGGUUUAAUUCGAAGCAACGCGAAGAACCUUACCAGGUCUUGACAUCGAUCUAAAGGCUCCAGAGAUGGAGAGAUAGCUAUAGAGAAGACAGGUGGUGCAUGGUUGUCGUCAGCUCGUGUCGUGAGAUGUUGGGUUAAGUCCCGCAACGAGCGCAACCCCUGUUGCCAGUUGCCAGCAUUAAGUUGGGGACUCUGGCGAGACUGCCGGUGACAAGCCGGAGGAAGGCGGGGAUGACGUCAAAUCAUCAUGCCCCCUAUGACCUGGGCUACACACGUGCUACAAUGGACAGAGCAGAGGGAAGCGAAGCCGCGAGGUGGAGCGAAACCCAUAAAACUGUUCUCAGUUCGGACUGCAGUCUGCAACUCGACUGCACGAAGAUGGAAUCGCUAGUAAUCGCGAAUCAGCAUGUCGCGGUGAAUACGUCCUCGGGCCUUGCACACACCGCCCGUCA
rnacentral:rRNA from 1 species